rnacentral:misc_RNA from 1 species
GAUGAAGAACGCAGCGAAAUGCGAUAAGUAAUGUGAAUUGCAGAAUUCAGUGAAUCAUCGAAUCUUUGAACGCACAUUGCGCCCCUUGGUAUUCCGGGGGGCAUGCCUGUUCGAGCGUCAUUUCAACCCUCAAGCUCAGCUUGGUAUUGAGUCCAUGUCAGUAAUGGCAGGCUCUAAAAUCAGUGGCGGCGCCGCUGGGUCCUGAACGUAGUAAUAUCUCUCGUUACAGGUUCUCGGUGUGCUUCUGCCAAAACCCAAAUUUUCUAUGGUUGACCUCGGAUCAGGUAGGGAUACCCGCUGAACUUAAGCAUAUCAAUAAGCGGAGGA